GGGCAGGUUAAGUUACAGAACAGCUGAUGCGGUGCUGUGUUGUCGUUCCCCCUGCCCAAAGAAACCUGUUUCCUACUAUCCCUGUCUGUCUGCAUCUCCCCAGCAGGCAGGGACGCUUGGUCUCAAACAC